GUGGGGAAUAUUGGACAAUGGGGGGAACCCUGAUCCAGCCAUGCCGCGUGUGUGAAGAAGGCCUUUUGGUUGUAAAGCACUUUAAGCGAGGAGGAGGCUACUUUGGUUAAUACCUAAAGAUAGUGGACGUUACUCGCAGAAUAAGCACCGGCUAACUCUGUGCCAGCAGCCGCGGUAAUACAGAGGGUGCGAGCGUUAAUCGGAUUUACUGGGCGUAAAGCGUGCGUAGGCGGCUUUUUAAGUCGGAUGUGAAAUCCCCGAGCUUAACUUGGGAAUUGCAUUCGAUACUGGGAAGCUAGAGUAUGGGAGAGGAUGGUAGAAUUCCAGGUGUAGCGGUGAAAUGCGUAGAGAUCUGGAGGAAUACCGAUGGCGAAGGCAGCCAUCUGGCCUAAUACUGACACUGAGGUGCGAAAGCAUGGGGAGCAAACAGGAUUAGAAACCCGUGUAGUCC
rnacentral:rRNA from 1 species